CGUGUAGGCGGCCAGAUAGGUCUGCUGUGAAAACUCGAGGCUCAACCUCGAGCUGUCGGCGGAAACCAUCUGGCUAGAGUCCGGAAGAGGAGAGUGGAAUUCCCGGUGUAGCGGUAAAAUGCGCAGAUAUCGGGAAGAACACCAGUGGCGAAGGCGGCUCUCUGGGACGGUACUGACGCUGAGACGCGAAAGCGUGGGAGCAAACA
rnacentral:rRNA from 1 species